CUCAUCUCAUUGACACUUCCUCCUCUCCUCAUCUCUUUCGUGAUCCUGCUUUCCCCAAUUUAUCGUCAUCGAUGCACUCCACCCCUCUAUAUCCGCCACCAUCGUCUCUGAGUCGUCCUCUCUUACACGGGUCAUCUCUGGCCAAAAGCGAGGAGUUGCUGCCGCCCUUUCUCAUUACUAUGACCUCAUCACUGAUGGGAAGAAAAGCUAUGUGGUCACUUUGUCGCAUCCCCAUCCCGAGCCCUAACUCCUCGAUCCACCGCUGGAUCGUCGAUUCAUGCCUUCGCCCUCUCCCCUCCUCCCCAAGACGUCAUCGCCUUUGCUUGAGGUUAGAUCGGCAACAUAGCCGAUCGUGGGAGAGCCGUAGGUUUCCUUAUGCUCUGAUCUUCCCUAGUUGUCACCCUCUCCCUCUCGCGAUUCACCCUUGUUGUCAAAGCAACCAGCACAGCGAUGUCGUCAUUGGUGCUCUGUCCAUGCCCCUCUGCCAUUCCAGCUCAAGCGGAUCAGGUAGGGUUGGCUUCAUCGGAGAAUAUAGUGCCACUAUCACCAUGCCCUAGCUUCCAUUACAGCUGACCGUCACCAAUCGCCACUCUCCUCAGCUCUCGGACGGCACCACAACAGCAUUUGGAUUUUGUCAGAGAGGAAGUUACGGAUAUGGUUAGAGGGGCAGUGACAACAUUGUAGCUUUGGCUAUGAAUCCUCAACAGGAAGCUUCUCCGGCUGAGUCAACAGCGAAGUCUCUAGAUUUGGGAUGUUGAUUUGGGAUAAGCGUCUCGACGUGAGUUUAUUUAGCACGAUCGACAGAUAAAGAUAAGGGUAAAGGAAAGAUGGACUAGCGGAGGCUGGAGGUCAAUGCAAUGAUGAGGAU